CGGGCUUGUGGUGAAUGCCUUGGCAUGGACAGGCGAAGAAGGACGUGACAAGCUGCGUUAAGCCACGGGGAGUCGCUAAUAGGCUGUGAUCCGUGGAUCUCCGAAUGGGGAAACCCGGCCUCGUUGACUCGAGGCCACUUGGCACUGAAUACAUAGGUGUUCAAGAGCUAACCCGGCGAACUGAAACAUCUCAGUAGCUGGAGGAAAAGAGAACAAUUGUGAUUUCCCUAGUAGUGGCGAGCGAACGGGAAAAAGUCCAAACCAACAUGGUUUCGGCUAUGUUGGGGUUGCAGGGCCCGCAUCACGAGGCCACGCGCUGAAGUCGAAGCUGACUGGAAAGCAGCACCAAAGAGGGUGACAGUCCCGUAUGCGUAAGGCAACUGGCCUCCCCGGAUCCCCCUAAGUACCACGGGACCAGCGAAAUCCUGUGGGAAGCUGCCAGUACCAUCUGGCAAGACUAAAUACUCGUCCAUGACCGAUAGUGAACCAGUACCGUGAGGGAAAGGUGAAAAGAACGCCUAAUCGGCGAGUGAAAAGUACCUGAAACCACGAGCCCACAACCAGUCGGAGCCUCGCAGCUUUUGCUGCUGGGGUGACGGCGUGCCUUUUGCUUAAUGAGCCUACGAGUUGCACCUCUCUGGCCAGGCUAAAGCCUUCAGGGCUGAAACCGCAGCGAAAGCAAGUCUGCAUAGGGCGUGGAGUCAGAGGGGGCAGACGCGAAACCGGGUGAGCUACCCUUGGCCAGGCUGAAGCGUAGGUAAGACUGCGUGGAGGGCCGUACCAACUGGUGUUGCAAAACCACUGGAUGAGCUGAGGGUAGGAGUGAAAGGCUAAUCAAACCCGGAAAUAGCUCGUACUCCCCGAAAUGCGUCUAGGCGCAGCGCUGCAUGAAGUGUGCUGGAGGUAGAGCACUAAUUGGGCUAGGGCCCUUCACCGGGUACCAAACCCUGAUAAACUCCAAAUGCCAGCACAUCUUGUGCGGUAGUGAGGGCGUGGGCGAUAAGGUCCAUGUCCGAGAGGGGAACAACCCAGACCGACAGCUAAGGCCCCUAAGUUCAGGCUAAGUUGAAUAAAGGAAGUCAGACUGCUUAGACAACCAGGAUGUUGGCUUAGAAGCAGCCAUUCAUUCAAAGAGUGCGUAAUAGCUCACUGGUCGAGCGGUCAGGCGCCGAAAAUAAUCGGGCAUUAAGCCUGACGCCGAAGCUUCGGAUUCGUCAGUUUUCUGGCGAGUGGUAGGGGAGCAUUCCAGCGGCACAGAAGCUACGUCGCAAGGCGUAGUGGAGCUUCUGGAAACGAAAAUGUAGGCAUGAGUAACGAUAAGACAGGUGAAAAACUUGUCCGCCGCAAACCCAAGAGUUCCUGUUCAAUGUUAAUCAGAGCAGGGUUAGUCGGGACCUAAGUCGAGGCCGAAAGGCGUAGACGAUGGACAACGGAUCAAUAUUUCCGUACCACCCAACGGUGUUAAUGCAAGGCGUGACGCAGAUGCGUAGGGUCCGCGUACUGAUGGAACAGUGCGUUAAAGCCCGUAGGUAGGGGCAGUAGGCAAAUCCGCUGCCCUGAUGAUCUGAAAGGCGACAGUAGGGGGAGCCGACAGGCAAACCCAUAGAGAUCUCAAGCAUGCUGUCAAGAAAAGCGUCGUGCAUUGCCUAGGGUGCCCGUAUCCCAAACCGACACAGGUGGGUGAGGAGAGUAUCCUCAGGCGCUCGAGUGAUCCGUGGCUAAGGAACUCGGCAAAUUAGCCCCGUAACUUCGGGAUAAGGGGCGCCCUUUCUCAUCCAAAAGCGAGAAAGGGCUGCAGUGACCAGGCCCAAACGACUGUUUAACAAAAACACAGACCUCUGCUAAGCCGCAAGGCGACGUAUAGGGGUUGACACCUGCCCGGUACUGGAAGGUUAAGGGAGCGUGUUAAUGCUGGCUUCGGCCGGCAUGAAGCUCGCAACUGAAGCCCCAGUAAACGGCGGCCGUAACUAUAACGGUCCUAAGGUAGCGAAAUUCCUUGUCGGGUAAGUUCCGACCUGCACGAACGGUGCAACGAUUUGGGCACUGUCUCGGCCACGGGCUCGGUGAAAUUGUGGUGCCGGUGAAGACGCCGGCUACCCUCAGUGGGACGGAAAGACCCCGUGCACCUUUACUACACCUUGGCAUUGACUUCGGUCAGGAUAUGUGCAGCAUAGGCGGGAGGCGUGGAAGCGACGCCGCUAGGCGUCGUGGAGCCAUCCGUGAGAUACCGCCCUUAUCCUGAUUGGAGCCUAACCCGCGACCGUGAUCCGGUCGGGGAACAGUGUUAGGCGGGUAGUUUGACUGGGGCGGUCUCCUCCUAAAUAGUAACGGAGGAUUUCAAAGGUACCCUCAGCAUGGUCGGUAAUCAUGCGCAGAGUAUAAAGGCAAAAGGGUGCUUAACUGCGAGACAUACAGGUCGAGCAGGUGCGAAAGCAGGACUUAGUGAUCCGGCGGUUCUGAGUGGAAGGGCCGUCGCUCAAAGGCUAAAAGGUACGCCGGGGAUAACAGGCUUAUCUCCCCCAAGAGUCCAUAUCGACGGGGAGGUUUGGCACCUCGAUGUCGGCUCGUCGCAUCCUGGAGCUGAAGAAGGUUCCAAGGGUUGGGCUGUUCGCCCAUUAAAGCGGCACGCGAGCUGGGUUCAGAACGUCGUGAGACAGUUCGGUCCCUAUCUACUGAGGGCGCAGAAAACUUGAGGAGAGCCACUCCUAGUACGAGAGGACCGGAGUGGACGGACCGCUAGUGCACCAGUUGUGGCGCCAGCUGCAUCGCUGGGUAGCUAUGUCCGGAAGAGAUAAGCGCUGAAGGCAUCUAAGCACGAAGCUCUCUCCAAGACUAGGUUUUCCUAAAUGGGUCGUUCGAGACUAGGACGUCGAUAGGCGGUAGGUGUAAGCGUGGCAACACGUUCAGCCGAGCCGUACUAAUUACCCAUGUGGCUUAACG
rnacentral:rRNA from 1 species